rnacentral:rRNA from 1 species
GGUUAAGCGACUAAGCGUACACGGUGGAUGCCCUGGCAGUCAGAGGCGAUGAAGGACGUGCUAAUCUGCGAUAAGCGUCGGUAAGGUGAUAUGAACCGUUAUAACCGGCGAUUUCCGAAUGGGGAAACCCAGUGUGUUUCGACACACUAUCAUUAACUGAAUCCAUAGGUUAAUGAGGCGAACCGGGGGAACUGAAACAUCUAAGUACCCCGAGGAAAAGAAAUCAACCGAGAUUCCCCCAGUAGCGGCGAGCGAACGGGGAGCAGCCCAGAGCCUGAAUCAGUGUGUGUGUUAGUGGAAGCGUCUGGAAAGGCGCGCGAUACAGGGUGACAGCCCCGUACACAAAAUGCACAUGCUGUGAGCUCGAUGAGUAGGGCGGGACACGUGGUAUCCUGUCUGAAUAUGGGGGGACCAUCCUCCAAGGCUAAAUACUCCUGACUGACCGAUAGUGAACCAGUACCGUGAGGGAAAGGCGAAAAGAACCCCGGCGAGGGGAGUGAAAAAGAACCUGAAACCGUGUACGUACAAGCAGUGGGAGCACGCUUAGGCGUGUGACUGCGUACCUUUUGUAUAAUGGGUCAGCGACUUAUAUUCUGUAGCAAGGUUAACCGAAUAGGGGAGCCGAAGGGAAACCGAGUCUUAACUGGGCGUUAAGUUGCAGGGUAUAGACCCGAAACCCGGUGAUCUAGCCAUGGGCAGGUUGAAGGUUGGGUAACACUAACUGGAGGACCGAACCGACUAAUGUUGAAAAAUUAGCGGAUGACUUGUGGCUGGGGGUGAAAGGCCAAUCAAACCGGGAGAUAGCUGGUUCUCCCCGAAAGCUAUUUAGGUAGCGCCUCGUGAAUUCAUCUCCGGGGGUAGAGCACUGUUUCGGCAAGGGGGUCAUCCCGACUUACCAACCCGAUGCAAACUGCGAAUACCGGAGAAUGUUAUCACGGGAGACACACGGCGGGUGCUAACGUCCGUCGUGAAGAGGGAAACAACCCAGACCGCCAGCUAAGGUCCCAAAGUCAUGGUUAAGUGGGAAACGAUGUGGGAAGGCCCAGACAGCCAGGAUGUUGGCUUAGAAGCAGCCAUCAUUUAAAGAAAGCGUAAUAGCUCACUGGUCGAGUCGGCCUGCGCGGAAGAUGUAACGGGGCUAAACCAUGCACCGAAGCUGCGGCAGCGACGCUUAUGCGUUGUUGGGUAGGGGAGCGUUCUGUAAGCCUGUGAAGGUGUGCUGUGAGGCAUGCUGGAGGUAUCAGAAGUGCGAAUGCUGACAUAAGUAACGAUAAAGCGGGUGAAAAGCCCGCUCGCCGGAAGACCAAGGGUUCCUGUCCAACGUUAAUCGGGGCAGGGUGAGUCGACCCCUAAGGCGAGGCCGAAAGGCGUAGUCGAUGGGAAACAGGUUAAUAUUCCUGUACUUGGUGUUACUGCGA